rnacentral:lncRNA from 1 species
CCGCACUGCCCGCUGCCCCAAACAUUAUUGCUCCACCUUCCCCUGUCCGCACCUUCAAGUCCUAUAGGAGAGACUCCAACCAACAGAUCUAUUUUUUAGCAAUAUGUCGUGAAAUCCUGACAGCUAGAAAUCAUCAAGGAGCAGCUACAGAACCCGACCAGCGCAGCAGAACUAUCCAAUGUGUCAGGUGUCCUCUGGAAGAACUUCGUCAGGUCACCUAUUAUGGCCUUCUUGGUGGGUUGACCGUUAAAGAAACCUUAUGGAGAGUGCUUGGCAAGAUGGUGCCAAACUCACUGGCAAAGACAAUCAAUUGGAGGGGUGUGAAUGUAAUAACAGGCUUUGAGUUCCUCGCUUUAAAAGAUGUUGUUUUGAAAUCAGUCCGUCGCAAUUCUGUAACUGCACAGAGUGCUUCAUGAAGCAAUGGAGAAACAGAGCACUUCAUGAAGCCAUGUCUCCAGCUGUCAUCUGACAGAGAAGAGAACGGCCAAGCGACCCCUGAAUCAAAGUCUUAGUAGGUGUGCUUUUGUGGUACAUUCUCAGCUGCCUUAGAAGCUCACUUCCAAAAUACCGCCUCGAAAGAAUGCCCUUUGACCUGUUGGAGGGGGGGUCUGUUCCUGUGUCCGGAGCAUGUGUUAGAGGCCUUUGUGUGACGACAGCUGUUAUGUCCAAAUCUUGUUAUAUGAUACUCCUUCCUGUGACUGGAAGGUACGUGUUUAGAUUGGGGGCCCCUGGGUAACGGUCUCCAGUUUUCGGCCUAUAUAACUUAGCUGCCUUGCAUGAUCCAGUCAGACCUUCCGAUUGACUGCGAAGUCUCCAGGGGCUGACUAGUCGCUCGUUAUGACCUGUGAUUCCUGUAAUAAACUCUAUCAUACAGGAAAGAACAGUGUCCGCGGAAGAUUCCUUCAAACAUCAUUCUUCAACAUCACUGCCACUUGAAAGAUACGACACUUUCAAUACUCAACACAUUCUCACUCCAAUGUGUCAAUCACCAGUCAGUGCUACUAAGCUUCAAACAAUGACUGUACGUUCCCCUCUAUCUGUUUUGGAUGUGUUAGGGGCUCAUUACAUACACGCAUACGUGUCUUAUACAGAAAAAGAAAUGUCCACCUCGACAAGGAGGUAAGGUUUCGGUAACAAAAACACUUAUUUACUGUUGGUUUAGGAAAAGAGAUCUGAGUCUGUGACUUACGACUAGGGUUGCAAAGGGGCGGAAAGUUUCCACGGGAAUUUUGUCUCGGGAAUUUGGGGAUUUUUUUUUUUCAAAAGCAUAUAACAGGG